CACGUAGGCACCAAGCGUUGUCCGGAUUUAUUGGGCGUAAAGAGCUCGUAGGCGGUUCAGUAAGUCGGGUGUGAAAACUCAGGGCUCAACCCUGAGCGGCCACCCGAUACUGCUGUGACUUGAGUCUGGUAGGGGAGUGGGGAAUUCCUGGGUGUAGCGGUGAAAUGCGCAGAUAUCGGGAGGAACACCGGUGGCGAAGGCGGCUCACUGGCCCGUAACUCGGACGCUCAUGCACGCAGCGUGGGGAUCAAACAGG
rnacentral:rRNA from 1 species